rnacentral:rRNA from 1 species
GUGGGGAAUAUUGCAAAUGGGCGAAAGCCUGAUGUAGCAACGCCGCGUGUGCGAUGAAGGUCUUCGGAUUGUAAAGCACUUUUUGGAGGGAUGAGGAAGGACAGUACCUCCAGAAUAAGCUUCGGCUAACUACGUGCCAGCAGCCGCGGUAACACGUAGGAGGCAAGCGUUAUUCGGAUUUACUGGGCGUAAAGCGCGUGCAGGCGGUUUGGAAAGGUGGAUGUGAAAGCUCCUGGCGAAACUGGGAGAGGUCGUUCAAUACUUCCAGACUUGAGAGUGGUAGAGGGAGGUGGAAUUCCGGGUGUAGUGGUGAAAUGCGUAGAUAUCCGGAGGAACACCAGUGGCGAAAGCGGCCUCCUGGACCACUUCUGACGCCCAGACGCGAAAGCUAGGGUAGCAAACGGGAUUAGAAACCCUUGUAGUCC